UGCUGGCAUAGGAUAACUAUAAUUUUUAUUUUAAUAAAGAUAUGUGUUCACUUUAUUUUGAAAAUAAAAUUAUUGCACGUACUUUCUUGAUUAACGGUCUUUACCAUUUGCAUAUCGAUACGGGUGUAAAUAUUAAUGAGCAAAUAGUAAAUGCCAUAGGGUCUAAGAGACCUAGAGAUAGGAUUAGCCAAAAAUAUUUGUGGCAUCUUAGGCUAGGCC
rnacentral:lncRNA from 1 species